rnacentral:rRNA from 1 species
UUUACAACUCCCAAACCCCUGUGAACAUACCAAUUGUUGCCUCGGCGGAUCAGCCCGCUCCCGGUAAAACGGGACGGCCCGCCAGAGGACCCCUAAACUCUGUUUCUAUAUGUAACUUCUGAGUAAAACCAUAAAUAAAUCAAAACUUUCAACAACGGAUCUCUUGGUUCUGGCAUCGAUGAAGAACGCAGCAAAAUGCGAUAAGUAAUGUGAAUUGCAGAAUUCAGUGAAUCAUCGAAUCUUUGAACGCACAUUGCGCCCGCCAGUAUUCUGGCGGGCAUGCCUGUUCGAGCGUCAUUUCAACCCUCAAGCCCUCGGGUUUGGUGUUGGGGAUCGGCGAGCCCUUGCGGCAAGCCGGCCCCGAAAUCUAGUGGCGGUCUCGCUGCAGCUUCCAUUGCGUAGUAGUAAAACCCUCGCAACUGGUACGCGGCGCGGCCAAGCCGUUAAACCCCCAACUUCUGAAUGUUGACCUCGGAUCAGGUAGGAAUACCCGCUGAACUUAAGCAUAUCAAUAAGCGGAGGA